rnacentral:rRNA from 1 species
CCAAGCGUAAAGGGCGCAGGGCGGAUGCCUUGGCGCCAAGGGCCGACGAAGGACGCGACAAGCUGCGAAAAGCCGCGGGGAGGGGCAAAUGCCCGUUGAUCCGCGGGUGUCCGAAUGGGGAAACCCGGCGGGGCGAACCCCCGCCACCGCGCGCCGAACACAUAGGCGCGCGGGGGGAACCCGGGGAACUGAAACAUCUAAGUACCCGGAGGAAGAGAAAGAAACAUCGAUGCCCGGAGUAGCGGCGAGCGAAACGGGCGGAGCCCAAACCGGCGCGCGUGCGCGCCGGGGUAUGGACCGCCGGAAGGCGCCGAGACCCCAGCGGAACGGCUUUGGGAAAGCCGGCCGGAGAGGGUGAGGGCCCCGUACGCGAAGGGGUCGGGGCGCCGGGCGGGAUCCGGAGUACCGCGGGACACGAGAAACCCUGCGGGAAGGAGGGGGGACCACCCCCCAAGGCUAAACACCCUUGGCGACCGAUAGUGGAACAGUACCGUGAGGGAAAGGUGAAAAGAACCCCGGGAGGGGAGUGAAAGAGAACCUGAAACCCUGCGUCCACAAGCUGCGGGACGCCGCGCCGGCGACGGCGCGGGCGAACCGCGUACUUUUUGUAGAACGGUCCGGCGAGUUGCGGCGGCCGGCGAGGUUAAGGGCCGGGAGGCCCGGAGCCGAAGGGAGACCGAGCCCGAAACGGGCGAGUGAGUCGUCCGCCGCAAACCCGAAACCGGGUGAUCUACCCCCGUCCAGGCCGAAGCCGCCGUAAAGGGCGGUGGAGGGCCGAACGCGGAUCCGUUGAAAAGGGUCGCGAUGAGGCGGGGGUAGGGGAGAAAUUCCAAUCGAACCCGGAGAUAGCUGGUUCUCCCCGAAAUAGCUUUAGGGCUAGCCCCGCGCGAGGCUGCCGGAGGUAGAGCACUGGACUGCCUAGGGGGCGUCAAAGCUUACCGAAGCACACCAAACUCCGAAUGCCGGACAGCCGGUGCGCGGGAGUCAGACCGCACGAGACAAGUCGGGCGGUCGAGAGGGGAAGAGCCCGGACCACCGGCCAAGGCCCCAAAGGGCGCGUUAAGUGGGAAAGGAUGUGGCGGCCCGAAGACAGCUGGGACGUUGGCUCAGAAGCAGCCACGCAUUGAAAGAGUGCGUAACAGCUCACCAGUCGAGGGCCGCCGCGCCGAAAAUAACCGGGGCUGAAACGCGCCGCCGAAGCCGUGGGCCCGCCGCAAGGCGGGCGGUAGGGGAGCGUCCCCGGGCCGGCGAAGCGGCAGCCGCGAGGCGCCGUGGAGGGCCGGGGAGAGAGAAUGCCGGAAUGAGUAGCGAGAGUGGGGUGGGAAUCCCCACGGCCGAAUGUCCGAGGUUUCCAGGGUAAAGCUGAUCUGCCCUGGGGGAGUCGGGACCUAAGGCGAGGGCGAAGGCCGUAGCCGAAGGGCAACGGGUAGAGAUUCCCGUACCCCGCGCGGACAGAACUGCGGGGACGCGGACGCGGGGGCGCGGCCGGGCGACGGAAGCCCGGCGCAAGCCAGGACCCCGGGGCGGCGAAGCACCGCCCCGCUGUGGGGGAGAGGCGAGUCCGACCGAACCUACGGGUAGGGAAGCGCGCCGAAGCGCCCGCCGAGAAAAGCCGCUAUGGCUCCGCGCGGGCCCGUACCGCAAACCGACACAGGUGGACGGGGAGAGAAUCCCAAGGCCGGCGGGGGAAGCGUCGUCAAGGAACUCGGCAAAAUGGCCCCGUAACUUAGGGAGAAGGGGCGCCCGCGAAGGCGGGCCGCAGAGAAGGGGUCCAAGCAACUGUUUAGCAAAAACACAGGUCUAUGCGAAGCCGCAAGGCGAGGUAUAUGGGCUGACGCCUGCCCGGUGCCGGAAGGUUAAGGGGGGGGCUUAGCGCUUGCGCGAGGGCCCGAACCGAAGCCCCGGUAAACGGCGGCCGUAACUAUAACGGUCCUAAGGUAGCGAAAUUCCUUGUCGGGUAAGUUCCGACCCGCACGAAGGGCGUAAUGAUUUGGACGCUGUCUCGACGACGCACCCGGUGAAAUUGAAGUGCCAGUGAAGAUGCUGGCUACCCGCGCCAGGACGGAAAGACCCCAUGGAGCUUCACUCCA